UUUGGUGUGGGAGAACAUGGGGCACC
rnacentral:piRNA from 1 species